GCGGAACGCCAUCCACCCACAGCGAGCCUACACAGCUCUGACUCCGGCGAAGAACUACGGAGAAACAAAGCAAGGUUGGCGUCGCAGAAGAACACCGAACGGACCACCUGUCACCUGUCAUCGUACACCACCGGAGCCCCGCCCCACAGCUUCGACUUCGCAGCAACAAGCAGCCGAGGUAAACUUAAGGACACGUCGGAGAAGAGCCGACUACCAUGACCAAUGCCACGCCUCCGGCGAUGCUCACCACCGUCAUCGUUGCCAUAGAAGCCAAACCGCCCUCAUUGUCGAACGGACACGACCAAGCAGCACGAACGACAUCCCUAUCUACCAUUGGUUCCUCUGGCCGGUAAGAAGCUCCUAGAACGAUGCCCCAAGAGGUGUGACGCGUGUCGCCAUCAUCCUCCGAUCCCACGGGAUCAUGGGUUUUUUCCGAGCAUUCUUGCGUAGUGGAGCGAGCAGGAAAGCCUCAGUGACGCCUUCAAGAAGGAAGCGGCGCCCGCAAACACCGUCGUUACCUGCCCCGGCCCAAAAACCGACAACAAGGUCUUCACCCGGCACUGCACCUCCAAUCACAACCCGAGCCAGACCACCACCACAGGAGCCAGAUCCAACAUGUGGUCAGAUCCGGCACCCCGUGCAUCAGCUGAAGCCACCCUUGCUCGCGCCACCGGCCGUGUACUGCCGUCCACACGGCCAGCACACCGCUCAGCACUACCUCGCCCUGGAGGCGCUGCCUCGGCGACCUCCCACUUGCAGAUCCACGAGCACAACGCAGACUCCCUGACAGCUCCAGCCUCCACCAAACACCACCAACACACCCACUCCCGCUGCCUCACUCGCCGGGACCAGGAUCCCGCCCGAGAAUCAGCAGGGUGCCUCCAACGAGCGCCCUGGCUGGCACCACCGGCGCUCGGCCCGCUGGGACCACGCCCCCACGGCCGGGGAGAGCAGAGGAGCCAUCCCGACCAGAGGAGGACGUGGCCCGAAGGCCCAGAUCCAGUCCCCCCAAACGCUGGUGUGCAGCCACCACCGAGCUCCGGCCAAGGGCGGCCCUGCCGCCGAGAGGGACGCCGCCCCUCGAGCAGCACGCGCCGGCCACCCGACGCCGGCCGGACACCCGCCACCAGACACCCGAGCGCCCCCAGAUGCGCGACCAAGGGUCGCCGACAGCAGAAACCGCCCCGCCGCCGCCUUCCCUGGGGUACGCGCGGGCUUCUCCGGCAUCCCCUCCGGCAGCGGCGCAGCGAGGGAGGAGAGGCGGGGUAGCCUGGCGGCGCAGCUAGGGUUGCCCCCUGUGUCGCGAGAGGAGGCGACGCCAGGCAUGACAUUGUUACCAUAGUUCUUUUUCCGUGGAAUUCCUCUCUUCAUAUUCUUCCUGGCAGGCCUCAACCGUGUUGAUCUGAUGCCACUGUGGGGUGUAUGUCUGUUGGUGCUUUAGUUCCAAACCUACUGCUCCAUGUCUAUGCAUGACAGUGAUCCGCGAGAGGCGUGACCAGGCUGUUCUGUACCACGGUCGCCUCCUGCGCCGUGGCGCUACAUGUGACAUGCCGUGUACACUUUCUCCCGCGGAAGCCUCCUUCGCCGUGCUGAAAUCUAGGAGCCCCCUCCAUCAUCCCCACCGUCGUCCCCGUCACCGACCCCCCUCCGACCUUGAAGUGAGACCAGCCAAAUCUCCAUGUCAAUAUGAGUCCUAUAAGAUAUUUUGAAAUGUUUUUGCUCAUAAUUUCAAGCAUUGAAAUGUAAUGGCCAUCAAGUUUGAAUGCUCAUAUGAUGUAGAUAAAAACAUGUAUAUUUCCGUUCGGGCAAAUUUCAGGCGCUCGAU